rnacentral:rRNA from 1 species
ACUCCUACGGGAGGCAGCAGUGGGGAAUAUUGCACAAUGGGCGCAAGCCUGAUGCAGCCAUGCCGCGUGUGUGAAGAAGGCCUUCGGGUUGUAAAGCACUUUCAGUCGUGAGGAAGGUAGUGUAGUUAAUAGCUGCAUUAUUUGACGUUAGCGACAGAAGAAGCACCGGCUAACUCCGUGCCAGCAGCCGCGGUAAUACGGAGGGUGCGAGCGUUAAUCGGAAUUACUGGGCGUAAAGCGCACGUAGGCGGACUAUUAAGUUAGAGGUGAAAUCCCAGGGCUCAACCCUGGAACUGCCUUUAAUACUGGUAGUCUUGAGUUCGAGAGAGGUGAGUGGAAUUCCGAGUGUAGAGGUGAAAUUCGUAGAUAUUCGGAGGAACACCAGUGGCGAAGGCGGCUCACUGGCUCGAUACUGACGCUGAGGUGCGAAAGUGUGGGGAGCAAACAGGAUUAGAUACCCUGGUAGGUGACAAU